AGCGAACGCUGGCGGCAGGCCUAACACAUGCAAGUCGAACGAACUCUUCGGAGUUAGUGGCGGACGGGUGAGUAACACGUGGGAACGUGCCUUUAGGUUCGGAAUAACUCAGGGAAACUUGUGCUAAUACCGAAUGUGCCCUUCGGGGGAAAGAUUUAUCGCCUUUAGAGCGGCCCGCGUCUGAUUAGCUAGUUGGUGAGGUAAAGGCUCACCAAGGCGACGAUCAGUAGCUGGUCUGAGAGGAUGAUCAGCCACAUUGGGACUGAGACACGGCCCAAACUCCUACGGGAGGCAGCAGUGGGGAAUCUUGCGGAAUGGGCGAAAGCCUGACGCAGCCAUGCCGCGUGAAUGAUGAAGGUCUUAGGAUUGUAAAAUUCUUUCACCGGGGACGAUAAUGACGGUACCCGGAGAAGAAGCCCCGGCUAACUUCGUG
rnacentral:rRNA from 1 species